rnacentral:lncRNA from 1 species
UCAGAAAGUUACCCAAUCUUGGUGAGGCUAAUCGUGAGUACCUCCACCUUAAUGUCAUCAUCACCGAGUGAAAACCGCACAUUCCUUGGCCUUAAUAAACCUCUGCGAGGAUAAGAAGUUAUGAAAAUUAUAAAAUCCAGAAUAGAGAAUCAAAUAGAGAAUUAAAAGGAGAUGAGUGAUAAAGAACUAAAGAGAUCGGGAAGGGUGAUUACCUUUUUUUCAUAAGCCACCGAUGAUUCUCAAUCAUCGCUACCACCACUGAAAUCGAGAAGAGAAGGUAAAAAAUAGAAAGAAGGCGACCCGCAAUGCUUCAAACCGAGACGAAUAGAGAGGAAGAGUGAAAAAGGGGAUUCAGGGAUUUCGUCUUUCUCAUUCUUUGAAGAUUUCGUGAGAGAGGACGAGGAUGAAGGUUCUCACAUCUUGAUGUAUAUGGUAAUAAUUGCGACCUCCUCCUAACACCCUGAACCGUGAAUCAAACCACCGCCGGAGAUGGAGAAGAGAUGGAGAGGAGAUUGGAAUUUUUGAUUUAGGGAUUUAGCCCCUUUGUACCUACCCGUGAUGAAGGAGAGUAACAUAUUCCCCUUUU